GACGAACGCUGGCGGCGUGCUUAACACAUGCAAGUCGAACGGAAAGGCCCUGCUUUUGUGGGGUGCUCGAGUGGCGAACGGGUGAGUAACACGUGAGUAACCUGCCCUUGACUUUGGGAUAACUUCAGGAAACUGGGGCUAAUACCGGAUAGGAGCUCCUGCUGCAUGGUGGGGGUUGGAAAGUUUCGGCGGUUGGGGAUGGACUCGCGGCUUAUCAGCUUGUUGGUGGGGUAGUGGCUUACCAAGGCUUUGACGGGUAGCCGGCAUGGGAGGGUGACCGGCCACAUUGGGACUGAGAUACGGCCCAGACUCCUACGGGAGGCAGCAGGGGGGAAUAUGGCACAAUGGGCGGAAGCCUGAUGCAGCAACGCCGCGUGCGGGAUGACGGCCUUCGGGUUGUAAACCGCUUUCGCCUGUGACGAAGCGUGAGUGACGGUAAUGGGUAAAGAAGCACCGGCUAACUACGUG
rnacentral:rRNA from 1 species